UACAGAGGUCCCAAGCGUUGUUCGGAUUCACUGGGCGUAAAGCGUGUGUAGGCGGAUCGUUAAGUGUCUUGUGAAAUCCCACGGCUCACCCGUGGAACUGCUGGGCAUACUGGCGAUCUUGGGCCAACUAGGGGCAACUGGAACAAGCGGUGGAGCGGUGAAAUGCGUAGAUAUCGCUUGGAACGCCAAAGGUGAAAACAGGUUGCUGGGGUUGUGCCGACGCUGAGACACGAAAGCCAGGGGAGCAAACGGG
rnacentral:rRNA from 1 species